UAAUACGUAGGGGGCGAGCGUUGUCCGGAAUCAUUGGGCGUAAAGAGCUCGUAGGCGGCUUGGUAAGUCGGGUGUGAAAACCUCAGGCUCAACCUGAGGCGUGCAUCUGAUACUGCCAUGGCUAGAGUCCGGUAGGGGAGUGUGGAAUUCCCGGUGUAGCGGUGAAAUGCGCAGAUAUCGGGAGGAACACCAGUGGCGAAGGCGGCACUCUGGGCCGGAACUGACGCUGAGGAGCGAAAGCGUGGGGAGCGAACAGGAUUAGAUACCCUGGUAGUCCACGCCGUAAACGUUGGGCACUAGGUGUGGGAUCUUUCAACGGAUUCCGUGCCGUAGCUAACGCAUUAAGUGCCCCGCCUGGGGAGUACGGCCGCAAGGCUA
rnacentral:rRNA from 1 species